CAGUAGCCGCGGGAAUACAGAGGGUGCGAGCGUUAAUCAGAUUUACUGGGCGUAAAGCGUGCGUAGGCGGCUUCUUAAGUCGGAUGUGAAAUCCCUGAGCUUAACUUAGGAAUUGCAUUCGAUACUGGGAAGCUAGAGUAUGGGAGAGGAUGGUAGAAUUCCAGGUGUAGCGGUGAAAUGCGUAGAGAUCUGGAGGAAUACCGAUGGCGAAGGCAGCCAUCUGGCCUAAUACUGACGCUGAGGUACGAAAGCAUGGGGAGCAAACAGGAUUAGAUACCCCUGUAGUCCCUGUCUCUUAUAC
rnacentral:rRNA from 1 species